GAAUGCCACGAGGAAGCUUGGAGACCGAAGUGAAAGGCUGGUCAGAACGUGGGACUGGAAAAGCACAGCCCCCCCAUGUUGUGCUUGGUAGGCUCCUCUCGACAUUAUGCACUGACGUGAAAGGAUAUGGCUUUCCUGCUGACUUCAGCAAGAGCAGGUGGUGCCAGGCUUAUUCCCUGUGGAAGCCAUCUCAAGACCAGCUAUUGCACUAUGAAUCCCUUCUGCCUUGGAGGAUAACCUGCCCUGGUCUUAGCAUCCGUCAUCCUGCAGCCACCAGGAGAGGGGUAACUCCUGACACUGCUCAUACUUUCAUGCUGGACUGUCCCCUUUUUUUUUAUUAUACUAAAGGACAGGAAAGGAAUGUGCCAUGGUUUCAUUACUUUUGAGGAGGAAAAACAGCAACAAAGAAAAGAAAAUAGCACUCCAGUGCAAAUAUCCAGAUUUGCAACAUCCCUUGAUUUUUGUCAACAAUUAACAGAAGUGUGAUACUGGAGGCUUUUAUUAAUUGAAUAAAGCCUAGUUUUAUUUUUCUUUUCAAAAUCAUUAUCAUAUAUAUGUAUUUUUCCUUCUUUGUGUUGAAAUUGGUGAGGGUCAUCAGUACUGGCAACAGGCCUGAUGUUGUCAAGUGCUGCACUCCCCUUAACAUCAAUAGAGCCUGAAGAGUAACAAACUUGAUGCAAGAGGAGGCCUCAGAGGAGAUUGCCCUGAAGCAAAUAAAAAUUACAUCC
rnacentral:lncRNA from 7 species